UCUGUUGUUUCUUCUUUUUGAGG
rnacentral:snRNA from 1 species